rnacentral:rRNA from 1 species
UACGAAGGGGGCUAGCGUUGUUCGGAGUUACUGGGCGUAAAGCGCACGCAGGUGGCUGAGUCAGUCGAUUGUGAAAGCCCUGGGCUUAACCUGGGAAUUGCAGUCGAUACUACUCGGCUAGAGUAUGGGAGAGGGCAGUGGAAUUCCCGGUGUAGCGGUGAAAUGCGUAGAUAUCGGGAGGAACAUCAGUGGCGAAGGCGGCUGCCGGGCCCAAUACUGACACUCAGGUGCGACAGCGUGGGGAGCAAACAGG